rnacentral:lncRNA from 1 species
GCGAGCUCCGCCGCGCCAAGGCCAAGACCAAGUUCCCUCACUCCGGCGAACUCCAGAUGUCGAUGAUGACGAACAACAAUAUUAAUAAUAACAUUCUGAUGAACAAGAAGGCUUUCAAUAGCCAGAUCUCCGCCUCCGCCGCCGCAAAGAAUAACAAUCGCAGUCCUAGCCAGAGCAGCACCGUGGAGUCCUCCAGCCGCGAGCCGCAGCAACAGAUGAUGAUCGAGUCCUCUCCUCCUCUGGAUCUGAAUCUCGGACCUGUCUCCGCCGUCGUCCGCUUUCCGUUUCAGCCGAUGGGGCCNNNNNNNNNNGGCCGCCGCCGGCGGCGGCGGCGACGAUGAGCCGCAUCCACAAUCCGCAUCACCACGUGACCUACUACGAGGCGCUGAUGAAGAACGCGCAGUAUCAACGGAUGAUUCACGAUCAUCAUCAACGCAACCAGGCUAUUUUCAGCGGCGGCGGCGGAGGAGGAGUCCAGAGCGAUUCCGAUUCUUCUUCCGUCGUCGAUUUGAACCAUAACCACACCGAUCCGAUCCAUCCGUUGCCGAAGACAACCAGAUCUCUGGAUCUGGAUCUGAACCUGCCGCCACCAUCGGAGAACGUGUGACGUUUUUUUUGGAAUCAUAGCUCUGUUCGCCGGAGAUGGAACAAAUCCCCAAAUCUGCCGUUGACGAAUUAUAGUUUCUUCCUUUUUUUUGUUUUCAAUUACCGUCGUCCCGUUCUCCUUUAGGCAAGUAGAUAGAAGAAAAGAUAACAGAAUAGAAAAGAUUAUUCCGGCGAGUUGGUAGUUCCUCAAGAUUGUACGAGGAGGAGAAAAUAUCAAAAGAAAGAAAUCCAAAUCUCCUAUGUGUAUGAAGCUCUUAGCAGCUGACGGAGAUCUCUACCGUCCUCCGUCGCUCUUUUUUGCAGCAAAGAGAGUUUCUCUUUCGUUGUUCAUAACUAGUUCUUACUGUAAUCCCCCAUUUCCGUUACUGUUUUUUGCAGUUCAUAAUCGAUCAGAAAUCAGAAUUCCUUUCUUUCCAGUGAAUCAUAAUCGAAUCAGCCAUAGCUGAUUGUUCUCCACUCUGUUUUUCAUCUCCAAUGAUAAAACUCGUCGCCGGUAAGGUGUUAGGGGCAGGGGAUUCGCAGCGGCCGGCUGCCGGCGACUAAGUCGACAGUACGGAUGGUUGUGCGCACGAGCUGUUCUUUUCUGGGAGGCGUUUUUAUUAAUUAAAUAAUAAAAUAUAAUAAAUUAGGGUAAAUUUGACUGUGGGGAAAUUAUUAGACAGGUGUCCGUAUUACAGUUUGCGUUUCUUUCGUGAUUUCGGAUUGUUGUUCUUUCGGCUUCUCCUUAAUUUCAGGGGUAUACAAAUACGGUGUAUUUACGGCCAUGAAAUACGGGAGUGUACGGAAUAAACAAAUUUUUUUGUACGGUAUAAAGGGAAUUAUUUAUUUUUUAUAUAAAAAUUACCAAGUCUUAGGUGUUUACAAAACAUGUACAUUAAAAGGUAAUUAUGGCCAAUGGGUUAUUAUUACAAGUCCUAACAUGUAACAACUAGAGUGUUUAUUAUGGCAUUGUUAGUGAAUUCGAUAUCGC